UUCGGCAGACAAAGGGUUAAACUGCUGAGGCAGUUGAGCGCACCAUCCAACCGGGCUGUGUCGCUAGGGGAAGAUAUAGGGUACUUGUGGAGAAGCAACAGAUCUCAGCUGGAAAACAACCCCACAUCUGGCACGCGGGACGACCAAAUCUGAGGAGGAAAAAUCUGUCAAAUUUUUCACUGCAUGAUUAGAUGGACUGGACCAGUGGAUCAAUCUCUGACUUCCAAAUCACGAGCAGGGGCGAGAAAAGUUGCCAAUAUUAGUUGUGGAUUUGAUUUUGGCGCUGCAGAAUUUGGAUAUUUUUUUGUUUUUUUUUUAGAAAGGGGGAGAUGAUCGUCACAUGUUUUCUGACUUAGCGUUUUCUCCUAUAGGAAAUACCAUGCGUAAAAGCCAAUAUUCUUUUUUUUCCUGGCAAUAAUAUGUCUUCGUGGACGGGAAAUAAGUCCAACAUCUUUGCGCCCGUGGACAGGAAUUAAGUAUAACAUCUGGAGGCAACAACUCAAAACACCUUGUCCAACCUAUUCGACUAAAACGUUUACAAACACCGAUCGAGUUCCACCAACCGCGUUUUGCUUUUUUCAGCCUCCAGACUGAGUUUGGUUACAGGUGGUUUUCAUCGCGCUUUACCAUUACUAUGCACCUUAACAAUCAGCAAUAAACGAGCCACAUGGGUGUGAAAUGAAGGCUCACUUUGCUUUAAUUUUCUGAUUUUUUUUUCCCCAGCGGACAACAGUUUGAACCAGGGGCGAACAGCCAGUAGGUCUGCUCCCACUGCUUCUAAAUGAUAAGCUCGGUUUGUGUUUCGUCUUACCGAGGACGCAAGUCAGGCAACAAACCUCCGUCUAAAUCAUGUCUGAAGGAAGACAUGGCCAGAGGGGAAGACUCGGAUAAAAUUAUUAUUAACGUAGGCGGCACUCGACACGAGACCUACAAGAGCACCCUCAGGACCCUGCCGGGGACGCGCCUGGCAUGGCUAGCAGACUCGGAGUCGCAGGUCAGCUCCGACUCAGACAUUGCGUCCCCGAGUGCCACCGAGUUCUUCUUCGACAGACACCCCGGCAUCUUUGCGUACGUGCUCAACUAUUACCGGACAGGCAAGCUGCACUGCCCGGCUGACGUCUGCGGGCCUCUAUUCGAGGAAGAGUUGGCGUUUUGGGGUAUAGACGAGACUGACGUGGAGCCAUGCUGCUGGAUGACCUACCGGCAGCACCGGGACGCGGAGGAGGCCCUGGAGAUAUUUGAACCGCCCGACCCAGAAGACACCGACGACGAGAGAGAGAUGCCGAGGAGGUUCGGCAUCGAAGACGUCCCCGACAGGUCGAGAGGCUGCCGCGAAGUUUGGCAGCCAAAGAUCUGGGCGCUGUUUGACGACCCGUAUUCAUCUAGAGCAGCCAGGGGAGUUGCACUUGCCUCUCUCUUCUUCAUCCUGGUGUCGAUCACCACAUUCUGCCUGGAGACCCACGAUGCCUUCUAUGAAGUGCAAAACUGGACGGAGCAUGUUGUACAGGGCAACGUGACAAAGAACAUCACAAGGAACGAAAUAGUGACCAACCCAGUCCUCUUCACCGUGGAGGGCAUCUGUGUAGUCUGGUUCACGUUUGAAUUUCUGGUGCGCAUAAUAUCCUGCCCAGACAAAGUAGUCUUCAUCAGAAACACGCUCAACAUCAUUGACUUUGUGGCCAUUCUACCAUUCUACCUGGAGUUGGCUCUGAAAAGUCUGUCAUCCAAAGCUGCCAAUGAUGUGCUAAACUUCCUCCGUGUGGUCCGGUUUGUUCGAAUCCUCCGGAUUUUCAAGCUGACGCGCCACUUUGUAGGCCUGCGUGUCCUGGGUCACACGUUGAGGGCUAGUGUCAAUGAAUUCCUCUUGCUUAUUAUCUUCUUGGCGCUAGGUGUGCUAAUCUUUGCCACCAUGAUUUACUAUGCUGAGCGUAUUGGAAUCCAGCCUAAUGACCCCACAGGCUGCAAUCACACACACUUCAAGAAUAUCCCCAUCAGCUUUUGGUGGGCAGUGGUCACUAUGACCACACUGGGCUAUGGAGACAUGUAUCCACAGACGUGGCUCGGCAUGAUGGUAGGGGCGCUUUGUGCACUGGCUGGGGUACUGACCAUUGCUAUGCCGGUUCCCGUCAUCGUCAAUAACUUUGGGAUGUACUACUCGCUGGCUAUGGCAAAACAGAAGCUGCCAAAAAAGAAGAAGAAGCACAACCCAAACCCUGAUGCUCCAACUGACUCAGCCUCGUUUGGGAAGUCAGAAACAAACUCGCACAGAGACAGUACUCAGAGUGACACGUGUCCACUGGCUCCUGAGGAGAACAUCAGUAGGAACCGCUCAGACUCCAAACAGAACGGGGAUGCAAAUGUGGCCCUUUCAGAUGAGGAAGGCUGUAGUUUGACCCAGCCGCUGUCCCCCAGCGAAAAGUGGACAUUGCGGUGUUCCCGAGGCCGAGACAAGAAUAAGAAAGAGGGCACCUGCUUCCUCCUAACCUCAGAGAACCCCAGCGUUCAAACUGAGAGCUGUAAAGACAUCCUUGCGGCCACGGGAAACUAUGCUCAGCCGGAGGUCACCACUCUGACCUGAUGCUGAUUGGCUAUGAAAAGGAGAAAGAGCGUGAUUUCCUCAGUGGCGUACACUUCCCUUCCUGAAUGAACUGCUGAAGAGAUUCUUUGAAUUCAGGAUGAGAACUUUUGUUUUAAGUUGCAUAGCACAUUUAUCACAUGUACACUUACUCACAUGUUAGAGAGCAUUUUGCAUGUACUGCAUGCUCAAGCAUUGUAUGAUACUCCAAAAAAUGGCUACCAUUCAUAUGCAUUUUAUUUAGUGGAUAUGUCAUAGCUUGACUCCAAGGCUCUGAAAAAAGCAUCACAGAUUUAUUCCAAAGUGACGUUAAGGUCACUUCUCUGCCUGAUUUGAAGUCGAGAAAGUGUGAUAUCACAUUCCUCUGUGCACCAGUUGAAUCUGAAUCUGGCGUUCGGUCACUAUAAUUCAAAUUGAAGCCACACACUCGAUAAUCUGGGUUUUCAAAAAAAGACACUCUUAGUCAACUUGGAUUAAAAAAAAUGUAAUUGUGAAUAUUAAAUUUUACAGACCUAAAACUUAAAGAAAGUUUCAGGGGCUUUUGUGAGUCUGUUGUAAAAAUCCUUUUUUAUGUGUUGUUACAUUCGUUACCAUGUUACUUUCUAUUAUCAUGUGUCUAUUUUGGGAGUCAACACACAUCAGCAAAACCCCUACAUUGUAUAAGGAGUGAGAAAAUCUGCUUGUGAAUAUAGGUUUGUACAGCAAAACGCCUACUGUGAAAAAGGACAAGAUGGAAACUUGAAGUCACUGAUCGAUGUCAACAAAUUAGACCCACGUUUUUUAUUUUAUUUUAUUAUGUGGUCUCUGUUCUGCUGCUUUUUUAGAACCAAGCACAUGGAAACAUGCAGAUACUUUGCCAGGGACUAGAUGUGAUACGAACCCUGCCAGGAAACACAUUGUUUGUAAAUCCUUGUACAAUAAGAGUUUAACAAAAGAAAAGAAAAUCAAUGGAGCAGUAUUGUCUGUCUGUUACAUUAGCUAUACACAAUUGAUGUAUCAUUACUGGUUGAGUGAGGACCAAAUGUAGACUCAAUUAGAUUAGAUGGUAAAAGACUUUCAGUACAUGUUGGUAAAGAUACAUACAGUACAAUAUAAUCAUCUCCACUUGUGCCUCAUGUUGAGUAAUGGAGUUUAAAUGUGUGCAGUAGUGUAAUUCAAUUGGUAAGUUAACACUUCUACUUGUAUUGUAAAAACUCUGUUACAUAUUUGGAAAAGAGAAGCAGGAGUCUUUUUCUUUUUUCAAGACUUAUAAUCUAGUCCUCAUGGUCUACCAUAGUGGCCUUAUGUUAAAUAAACAAAGGGAAAGCUCAUUUUACCUUCAUUAGAAUCUUUCUAUGCUGAUGCAGAUGUUUGUAAUAUAUAAGCACAGCUGUAUGUAUGUAGCACAGUGCAAUACUCUAGGUCAUUAAGCUCUUUUCUUGUCUGUUCAUGUGGAUGCAACGUUAAAAUUGCUGUUGACCAAUGAAAGCUUAUUUGAAUAAUUCACCUUUUAAGCCUCAUUUCCUGUUUUCUCUGUUCCGUGUAUUCAAAUAUGACGGUCAAGCACAGUAGGCUGGUUUAACAUUUCCCCAGUAUGCACUGUGUAGGUGACCGUGAUGGUUUUUAACCCGGUAAGAUGUCAUGUGUGUAUGUAUGCGUGCCUGUUUGAGUGUGUGGGUGUGAUGUUUAACCAUGUAGGCAUGCAUUUAUAUGCAGAAAAUCAAAUAAAAUCAAUUUCUUCACAGAUAUUGAAGAUAAACUGAGCGUUGUGCGUUGUUAUUUUCAUUCACAGCUUGCAUUGCAUCCACAUAUUCUUCCCACUGCACGUUGCAAAGUUUGUGUCAUCACAGCACCUCUACUGUAUAGCUAUUUAUAGAGCGAACACCAGACUAUACAGGUUGAUGCUGUGCUUGUUCAGAGUGGUGUAACGGCAGUCACAGCUGUGCUUCCUGCUCUCCUGAGCUUCCACGAUUAUGUACCAAAGGUGUAGAUGACUUACAGAACACGUCUCCAUGGAGAUUUGGUAUGACAGGCAACGCUAAUUACUGCUCGGCUGCCUCCGUCUCCAACUCUCUGUGUGCCACAUGCAAGAAGCGCCACUCUUUCUAUCACACACAUCCUCACAGACACACAUGCAUCCACCUCAGCCCAGCAUGAUCGUCAUUACUGUCGUUGCACACGGGAAACAUUCUGAUGCUUGGCAAUACAAUGCAAAGCACUAUGGCAACAAAGGGAGGGAGGAUGGCAAGUUGUCAUGGUUGGGGCUGAUGAUGCUGUUAUUGAGGAAAGUUGGUUUUCAGUUGGUGUCCAGGUCUCAAGCAUCGUGGUUCGGCAGGGAUUGAGUGUGCAUCGAGAUAACGGCUCCUGUCCCCACAGCUCUGAGGAUUUUCUGAGAGGCAUCAUCUAUGAGAUCUUUUGCUUAACAACAUUACAUUAACAUUUUUUUCAUGUUUCUGUCUUUAUUUAUUUCACCCUUCUCCCUCUCCAUAUGUCUGCCUUUAUCUCAUUAAAUUAUUUGGUGUGAUGCACAUUAAAUUUGGGUGUUUCUUAAACUUCUCCCCUUACUUCCCGCUUCCCUUCUAUCUGCGUCAGAUAACUGACCCCUCCAACUCUCCCACCAAUGCAUGAAGCCUUGUACUCAACUUGCUGCUCAUCCAACAGGAAAAAACAAGUGGAGUGGAAGCAGCUACCUCUUGUGACCUGCUCUACCUGUUUCUUUGUGUCCAAAUAGUCUCACAGCUAAUUAUGACUGUUAUCCUUCAUCACUUUAUAUACAUAUAUGUAUAUAUUUAGACAUCAGUUUUAAGUGUUGCUGUAAACCAAUUUACUUGGUAGACAUCAGUUAAAGCAUUAUAAUUCUCCAGACAUCAUACCGGUAACUGAAAC